CUGCAUUCGUGUCCGUGAGUAUCUGGGUUAUGCGGAGUUUUUUUUUUUUGGCUGGAUUCACAGCGAUUCCACAGAGGCCUGCGAUUUCGCCGCGCUCCGCCUUUCAGAUCGGCGCCCAUCUGCGACCGCGGUUUGUGGUGGUCUGCAGGAGAUACCAGGGGACUGAUUUCCUCCCAUAGUCUGGAUGCCUUUCAGGGUGUACCCUGGCUCAUACCCUGUGCU